GAAUAUUGAGCAAUGGGCGCAAGCCUGACUCAGCAACGCCGCGUGGAUGAAGAAGGCCUUCGGGUUGUAAAAUCCUUUUCUGGGGGAAGAUAAUGACGGUACCCCAGGGAUAAGUUCCGGCUAACUACGUUCCAGCAUCCGCGGCAAAACGUAGGGGACGAGCGUUAUCCGGAUUUACUGGGCGUAAAGCGCAUGUAGGUGGCUUGAAAAGUUGGACGUGAAAGCUCCCGGCUUAACUGGGAGAGGUCGUUCAAAACUGGCAAGCUUGAGGUUGGAAGAGGAGAGCGGAAUUCCCGGUGUAGUGGUGGAAUGCGUAGAUAUCGGGAGGAACACCAGUGGCGAAAGCGGCUCUCUGGUUCAAUACUGACACUGAGAUGCGAAAGCGUGGGGAGCGAACGGG
rnacentral:rRNA from 1 species